rnacentral:piRNA from 1 species
UGAGAGCUAAUACAUGAAACCCAAACU